GAUGAAGAACGCAGCGAAAUGCGAUAAGUAAUGUGAAUUGCAGAAUUCAGUGAAUCAUCGAAUCUUUGAACGCACAUUGCGCCCCCUGGUAUUCCGGGGGGCAUGCCUGUUCGAGCGUCAUUUCACCACUCAAGCCUCGCUUGGUAUUGGGCAACGCGGUCCGCCGCGUGCCUCAAAUCGACCGGCUGGGUCUUCUGUCCCCUAAGCGUUGUGGAAACUAUUCGCUAAAGGGUGUUCGGGAGGCUACGCCGUAAAACAACCCCAUUUCUAAGGUUGACCUCGGUUCAGGUAGGGAUACCCGCUGAACUUAAGCAUAUCAAUAAGCGGAGGA
rnacentral:misc_RNA from 1 species